UCUGGCCCUAGGCCCGAGUUGUAAUUUGCAGAGGAUGCUUUUGGUGCGGUGCCUUCCAAGUUCCCUAGAACGGGACGCCAGAGAGGGUGAGAGCCCCGUACAGUUGGACACCAAGCCUUUGUAAAGCUCCUUCGACGAGUCGAGUAGUUUGGGAAUGCUGCUCAAAAUGGGAGGUAUAUUUCUUCUAAAGCUAAAUACCGGCCAGAGACCGAUAGCGCACAAGUAGAGUGAUCGAAAGAUGAAAAGCACUUUGAAAAGAGGGUUAAACAGCACGUGAAAUUGUUAAAAGGGAAGCGCUUGUGACCAGACUUGCGUCCGGUGAAUCACCCAGCUCUCGCGGCUGGGGCACUUCGCCGGCUCAGGCCAGCAUCAGCUCGCUGUCGGGGACAAAAGCUUCAGGAACGUAGCUCUCUUCGGGGAGUGUUAUAGCCUGUUGCAUAAUACCCUUCGGCGGGCUGAGGUACGCGCUCCGCAAGGAUGCUGGCAUAAUGGUCAUCAGCGACCCGUCUUGAAACACGGACCAAGGAGUCAACCUUAUGUGCGAGUGUUCGGGUGUCAAACCCCUACGCGUAAUGAAAGUGAACGCAGGUGAGAGCUUCGGCGCAUCAUCGACCGAUCCUGAUGUUCUCGGAUGGAUUUGAGUAAGAGCAUAUAGGGUUGGACCCGAAAGAAGGUGAACUAUGCGUGUAUAGGGUGAAGCCAGAGGAAACUCUGGUGGAGGCUCGCAGCGGUUCUGACGUGCAAAUCGAUCGUCAAAUAUGCGCAUGGGGGCGAAAGACUAAUCGAACCUUCUAGUAGCUGGUUUCCGCCGAAGUUUCCCUCAGGAUAGCAGUGUUGAACUCAGUUUUAUGAGGUAAAGCGAAUGAUUAGGGACUCGGGGGCGCUAUAUUGCCUUCAUCCAUUCUCAAACUUUAAAUAUGUAAGAAGCCCUUGUUACUUAAUUGAACGUGGGCAUUCGAAUGUAUCAACACUAGUGGGCCAUUUUUGGUAAGCAGAACUGGCGAUGCGGGAUGAACCGAACGCGAGGUUAAGGUGCCAGAGUAGACGCUCAUCAGACACCACAAAAGGUGUUAGUACAUCUUGACAGCAGGACGGUGGCCAUGGAAGUCGGAAUCCGCUAAGGACUGUGUAACAACUCACCUGCCGAAUGUACUAGCCCUGAAAAUGGAUGGCGCUCAAGCGUCUCACCCAUACCUCGCCCUCAGUGUAGAAACGAUGCGCUGAGGAGU
rnacentral:rRNA from 1 species